GACGAACGCUGGCGGCGUGCUUAACACAUGCAAGUCGAACGGAAAGGCCCUGCUUGUGUGUGGUGCUCGAGUGGCGAACGUGUGAGUAACAUGUGAGUCACCUGCCCUUGACUUUGGGAUAACUUCAGGAAACUGGGGCUAAUACCGGAUAGGAGCUCCUGCUGCAUGGUGGGGGUUGGAAAGUUUCGGCGGAUGGGGAUGGACUCGCGGGUUAUCAGCUUGUUGGUGGGGUAGUGGCUUACCAAGGCUUUGACGGGUAGCCGGCCUGAGAGGGUGACCGGCCACAUUGGGACUGAGAGACGGACCAGACUCCUACGGGAGGCAGCAGUGGGGAAUAUUGCACAAUGGGCGGAAGCCUGAUGCAGCAACGCCGCGUGCGGGAUGACGGCCUUCGGGUUGUAAACCGCUUUCGCCUGUGACGAAGCGUGAGUGACGGUAAUGGGUAAAGAAGCACCGGCUAACUACGUG
rnacentral:rRNA from 1 species